UACGAAGGGGGCUAGCGUUGCUCGGAAUCACUGGGCGUAAAGCGCACGUAGGCGGCUUCUUAAGUCAGGGGUGAAAUCCUGGAGCUCAACUCCAGAACUGCCUUUGAUACUGAGGAGCUUGGAGUCCGGAAGAGGUGAGUGGAACUGCGAGUGUAGAGGUGAAAUUCGUAGAUAUUCGCAAGAACACCAGUGGCGAAGGCGGCUCACUGGUCCGGUACUGACGCUGAGGUGCGAAAGCGUGGGGAGCAAACAGG
rnacentral:rRNA from 1 species